AAGUCGUAACAAGGUUUCCGUAGGUGAACCUGCGGAAGGAUCAUUACAAAAGUUUGAAUUCUCAACUGAUCCUUUAUUCCCAUCGUCAUAAGGGCAACGUGCUUCAUUGGACGUAGCUUUGAGACUUUGGGACCAUGAUAGAUCAUGUUGGGGUUCUAAAAAACAACUUUUCAACCACAUUGUGCACUUGUUGAUUGUCCUUGGUGAGAUCACUCGAAUAGGGGAUGUUUGGUGUAACCACCUUUCCUCCCUCUUUGGGCCUCACCGCUUUUAUUAAACCAAUUGAAAUGUAACCAAAGUCUGACUACAAAAUUUUGUGUUAAAGACACUAAUAAUUUUAAACAACUUUUGGCAACGGAUCUCUUGGCUCUC
rnacentral:misc_RNA from 1 species